GACGAACGCUAGCGAUAGGCUUAACACAUGCAAGUCGAGCGGCAGCGCAAGGUCGCUUUCUGUCUGGGUGGCGACCGGCGCACGGGUGCGUAACGCGUAUGCAACUUGCCCUCUACCGGCGGAUAAACCGUCGAAAGGCGGACUAAUACUGCGUAUGCUCGCAACUUUGCCUCAAUUGGUCAGGGAAGGAAUUUGUUUUAGGAUAGGCAUGCCUCCCAUUCGCUUGUUGGUGAGGUAACGGCUCACCAAGGCAACGAUGGGUAGGGUAACUGAGCGGUGUAUCCCCCACACGGGUACUGAGACACGGACCAGACUCCUACGGGAGGCAGCAGUGAGGAAUAGUGGUCAAGGGGCGCGAGCCUGAACCAGCCAAGUCGCGUGAAGGAUGACUGUCUUAUGGAUGAUACUCUUCUGUUAGACGGGAAUAACAGGAGUGACGUGGGACUCGCUGCAGGUACCGGAUGAAUAAGCACCGGCUAACUACGUG
rnacentral:rRNA from 1 species